UAGGGAAUCUUCGGCAAUGGACGGAAGUCUGACCGAGCAACGCCGCGUGAGUGAAGAAGGUUUUCGGAUCGUAAAGCUCUGUUGUUAGAGAAGAACGUUGGUAGGAGUGGAAAAUCUACCAAGUGACGGUAACUAACCAGAAAGGGACGGCUAACUACGUGCCAGCAGCCGCGGUAAUACGUAGGUCCCGAGCGUUGUCCGGAUUUAUUGGGCGUAAAGCGCGCCCAAGCGGUUCUUUAAGUCUGAAGUUAAAGGCAGUGGCUUAACCAUUGUACGCUUUGGAAACUGGAGGACUUGAGUGCAGAAGAGGAGAGUGUAAUUCCAUGUGUAGCGGUGAAAUGCGUAGAUAUAUGGAGGAACACCGGUGGCGAAAGGGGCUCUCUGGUCAGUAACUGACGCUGAGGCUCGAAAGCGUGGGGAGCGAACAGG
rnacentral:rRNA from 1 species